GCAGCGGGCCGGGGACGAUACAAAGCAUCGUCAGCCCGUCCAGGGCGGGGAUUAUCCCACCCUAGUCUGUGUGGCCUCACUGUGACUGCUGUGUCCAUUGUUGGGCUCCACAACAUAUAAAGAGGCAUUUAGCUGUUAGAGAGCAUCCAAAGGAGCGGCUUUCAGAUGAGGGUGGUGAAGAGCCUUGAGGACAAGUCGUGUGAGGAGGAGCUGAGCAGGUGCAACUGAUUCUGGCAGAGCUGUCUAUCAGCAACAAUAAACUGACCUGUGACCAAGUACCUCCCAGUAUCCUAUUUUGCACCUCAAAGGAGAAACUUGGCUUUUAUUAAUCUAAGGAGGAAAAGCAAGGAGCCUCACCCUCAUACCUCCCUGGACACACAGGGUAAAGAGCAGGCCUCCAGCUCACCCCUGGAGAGGCCCACGUGAGCUGUGCAGGAAAUGAGCUCAUCUGACUGGUGAUUCCCAGAUCUGGGAGAGCAUCACCUGCUGCCAGGAGACUCCCUGCUAGCACCCAGGUGUGGAAGAAUUUGGCUCUUUACUUGAUCUGACAGAUACAUGUGAAUUGCUGAGGCCAGCUGCCAGGGCACCCAUCUAUAGAGAACCCCUAGAGAUUAAAAGAAUUCUUGUUUAAACCCUAACAGAUUAUUUCAAUUAACUCAGGCCUCUCAAGUUGUCUUCUUGACUGAAGUUCUUUGCAUUGUGAUGCUGAUAGUAAUUUUACUAUUUAUAACAAAACAAUUAUUCUUUAUUUGUAAUUUGUUGAUAGGCUACAUGUUUGCUUUUAUCCCUUCUCUUUCACCAACUUUGCACUAAGGCCAGGCAAAGACUAGUUUGCAGAGGGUUCAGGUGAAUUACUGAAGACAGAGUCAUGUGCCUGUGGCUGGAUUCUGACGUGACUGGGGCAGGGAGGAACUGGCAGGACUGGUUGCUUACAAUGGGAGAUGAUAACUGGGUCAUGAGAGAACAUAAGCUUUGGGCUAUUUCAGGAGCAUAGAAGGAAUUCAUGAGGUGUGUGAUGUUACACCACACAUCACCUUACCUUUGAAAGAAUUAGUGGAAUUUUUUCAACUUGUCCUACUGUGGAACAGACUGGGGAAAGGGUAGUUAGAGCAGGAGGCUUAUGUCAUGAUAUGCUGCAGAUGAUUACAGCAUGGACAGCUUUCAAGACCAAAGAUCAGCUCAACUUCAUCAUGGCCUGUUCUUCCAUGUACAUAUUGUCAGUACAACCUGGCUUCAGGACAGGUGGUGUUGCACUCUGAUCAGCUUCAGCAGAGCUGCUCACCACCUCCUCUGCGACCCAUGGCACUACUGUUCCUGUGAGACUUAUACAUGUCAUUUGUGAUAUUUGUUUUGUAUAGUAGGGAGAAAAGUCUUGCAUGCCUCUGAAGCCUAGGGAUAGCUCAAGGAGACUCUGGAAUUGUCUCCUUCUGCUCCUCCAGAAAUUUGGCCCUGAACUGUAAUUUAUAUGGUAGGACUCCAGACUAAUGCAAGAGCCUCUCUCCCUUGAGGCCAGUAGCUGCUCUGAGCACAAAGGGGUGGCUCAGCACACCAGCAAACCUAAAUACACUUGAGCCUCAUUACAUUGUGCUGCUUAAAAUUAGAUGUGUGCCUAUGGCUUUAGGUUUGUCCUAUUCAG